AUCAUUUACGUGGCAACAGAGGAACAAAGAAAACCAGCAAAGGAUAUCAAACUAGCUAAAGUUCAACAACAGGAAGAAGCCACAUUACCACCAGAGGGGAGACGAUGUGGGGCACGCAGCUCCCUGGGACCUUGACUCAUCCUAGCAGAAGUGGGGAACGAAGCUGGUGAAAGGAGGCUGUCUGGUCAGGCAAGAUACUACUGCUGGCUGCUGUGGAGAGAUACCCCCAACUACCAGGAGCAAGAAGCAAACAAUAUAUAAGCCGAGAGCACAGAGAAGCAGCUAUCACACUCCUAAGCACCUACUCUUUGCCUUAUAAAUAUUUCACAGGAGAGAUGGAGCCCUGAUUACUUAAAAGAAGUAACCUUUUCUUCCAAGCUGCUCUGCUGCUCUUUUCAACAUUUUUUCCCGUCCUUCUUCCUAGCUGUAUUGGCCGCAGUAUGCAGUGGUUGCCGUAAUCUAAUAAAUUCCUCUUUUAAAGAUGUUUUUCUGUGCGCACUCAGGGCAUUUCCAAUUCCACCACUGUACGUGGUGCUUCUAAAAUAUUUCCCAAAGGGACCCCGUGUUGCCUUUCCCUCCGAAACAUCUUAAAUCUCUUGGAAACAGCAACAUGUUGGGUUUUCAGCCAACUGUAUGAGUUCCUGGAAGGCUGCAGGCAUACAGAACAGGAUCUUGCCCCUUGUUGUUUUAUUCUACCCUCAGGGCAUGGACUGAGGGGGUGGGGGUGGGGUAGUUCAUUUUUUCGAUGAACCAAUCAAGGCCUCACUCACACACACACACACACACACACACACACACACACACACACACACACACACACACCGUCCAGUUACUGGGUGGAACACAUCCAGAUGUUUUCUUCAAAUGACGGCUUAUGUUAGAAGCGCAGGCAAAGUGCCACAGGUGUCUCAUUAAGGGUGACAUGUAACAUCACAGCCUGGCUCUGUGAUGUAGUAGCCACAUCUGCUGGCUCAGGACCUGAGGACAGGCUUUGGGUUACGUGCUUCUGAAAAGUAAUUCUGAGCAAGAGACCAGCUCCAGGCAGAGCAGUCUGAGUCCCAGACUGAGGAGAGAAAGCAAAUUUCCCAGAUGGAUGUAGCUUCCUGAUAGCCAAAGCGGAAGCCCAAGACAGCAGCUCCUAGGAGGUCAGGCUAGCAGAGACACUUCAGGCUACUCCAGGUCCUCAGGGCGUCUGCCUACACAGAGCGCCGCACAGCAGACACUUAAAAUAUUGUGUCAAACGCUCAGCCGCCACCCAAUUAGACAAGAUGGAUGAAGCAAAGAAGUGCAGGCCGACAGGAACCGGAUGUAGAUCGCUCCUGAGAGACACAGCCAGAAUACAGCAAACACAGAGGCGAAUGCCAGCAGCAAACCACUGAACUGAGAACGGGACCCCCAUUGAAGGAAUCUUAGAAAGGACUGAAAGAGCUUGAAGGGGCUUGAGACCCCAUAUGAACAACAAUGACAAUCAACCAGAGCUCCCAGGGACUAAGCCACUACCCAAAGACUAUACAUGGACUGUCCCUGGGCUCCAACCUCAUAGGUAGCAAUGCAUAGCCUAGUAAGAGCACCAGUGGAAGGGGAAGUCCUUGGUCCUGCCAAGACUGAACCCCCAGUG